GACAGAGGUCCCGAGCGUUAGGCGGAAUCACUGGGCUUAAAGCGUGUGUAGGCGGAUGUGUCAGUCAGGGGUGAAAUCCCGGAGCUCAACUUCGGAACUGCCCUUGAUACAGCACGUCUUGAGUCCGGAAGAGGUGGGUGGAAUUCCUAGUGUAGAGGUGAAAUUCGUAGAUAUUAGGAAGAACACCGGUGGCGAAGGCGGCCCACUGGUCCGGUACUGACGCUGAGGUGCGAAAGCGUGGGGAGCAAACAGG
rnacentral:rRNA from 1 species